GGUUAUGUUGCAAGAAUCCUUGAUGUCCCGUAUUAGUAGAUCAGACCCAUACAAAGCCUAUGAGCAUGCCUUCAUUUGGGAAAAAUUAGGGGGUGUAUCAGAAAGGGAUGCUUCCUCAAUACAUGGUUCAGUAUUGAUAUACAAAGCAGAAGCAACGGGCUGUGAGCACUUCAUGAAGACCACCGGAUCAGCUAAGGGCGAAAGACCACCACGGUAUGGAUCAUGAGCACUAAAGUUGGACCUCGCCAAUGAUUGACGAGGGAGGGAUGAGCAAUUACCUUUUUGCAAUCCAUCGUCAACCACCGUGAUUGUACCAAAAAAAUCAUAUAAAUCAUCUACAUCCAAAUAGUUAAUCAACUUCACAUAAUAUCGACCGGCAUAUAAAUAUAGAAAAGUAUGAUUAUUUUCACAAACUAGCUCAUACUCAGAGCGGCCGCAGUGUUUUGGGUCACUUUUCAAUCGAAAGGGAUAGUGUAUAUCACGAAUCUCACCACAAGAUGAAGCAGUGCACAAGUGAUUCUUCUUCGCACCGCAACUCAUCCCCAGUAACAGCAGGACAUGCAAUAUGAAAAGCAAAACACGAAACAUGCUUGUGGAGCUCAAAGACUUAAUGGUUUCUCUAUCGUUUGAUCUG
rnacentral:lncRNA from 1 species